rnacentral:sRNA from 1 species
AAAAGAUUUUAAAAUAUUUACAAGGGAUUUUAAAAGGAUUUUAAAAGAUUUACAAGGGAUUUUAAAAGGGGUUUAAAAUAUUUACAAGUGAUUUUAAAAAGGUUUUAAAAGAUUUACAAGAGAUUUUAAAAGGGUUUUAAAAUAUUUACAAAGGAUUUUAAAGGGCUUUAAAAGAUUUACAAAGGUUUUUAAGUGAUUUUAAAAGGGUUUCAAAGUCUUUUAAAAGAUUUACAAGGGAUUUUAAAAGGGUUUUAAAGAUUUACAAGAAAUUUUAAAAGGGUUUUAAAAGAUGUACAAGGAUUUUUAAAAGACUUUUAAAGAAUUUACAAGAAGACCCUUUAAAAACUCUUGUAAAUUUUAUUAAAACCUUUUAAAAUCUCUUGUAAAUCUUGUAAAACAUUUUUAAAAUCUCUUGUAAAUCUUGUAAAACACUUUUAAAAUCCCUUGUAAAUAUUUUAAAACCCUUUUAAAAUCCCUUAUAAAUCUUUUAAAACACUUUUAAACCCUUUAAAAAUCUUUAAAAAACCUUUAUAAAUUUUUUAAAGCCCAUUAAAAUCCCUUGUAAAUAUUUUUAAACCCUUUUAAAAUCGCUUGUAAAUCUUUUAAAACACUUUUAAAAUCCCUUGUAAAUCUAUUUCCCGCUAAAAAAAAUUACAAGGAUUUUUAAAAGCAUUUUUUUGGCUGAGAAAAAAUUUGUUACGAAAAAGUUUUGACGGGAAAAAAGUUUUGCGGAAUAUUUUUUUGGCGGGAAAAAUAAAUUUUGUCGCCAAAACAUUUGGCGGGAAUAUUUCAGUUUCCAAUUACAUGUUCCUAUUAGAUGAGGGUAAUUUGGUCAUUCUGUUCAAUGGAAGAGGUAUUUUAAAAAAUGGACAACACAAAAGGGUAUUAUUGCAAAAAGGUGGUAAAAAAAGAGUAGUUUUGCAAAUCUCCCCAAGAACAACGAGGGCACCAAAUUUUUAUAGACCAAAAUUUGACAUUUACUUGUUACCAAAUUGGCUGCAUUAAUGAUAUACC